rnacentral:rRNA from 1 species
AGAGCGAACGCUGGCGGCAUGCUUAACACAUGCAAGUCGCACGGGCGGGGGCAACCCUGUCAGUGGCGGACGGGUGAGUAACGCGUAGGUAUCUAUCCUUGGGUGGGGGACAACUGUGGGAAACUACAGCUAAUACCGCAUGAUGACCGAGGUCCAAAGCUCGCGAGAGCGCCUGGGGAGGAGCCUGCGUACGAUUAGCUAGUUGGUGGGUAAAGCCUACCAAGGCGACGAUCGUUAGCUGGUCUGAGAGGAUGAUCAGCCACAUUGGGACUGAGACACGGCCCAAACUCCUACGGGAGGCAGCAGUGGGGAAUAUUGGACAAUGGGCGCAAGCCUGAUCCAGCAAUGCCGCGUGUGUGAAGAAGGUCUUCGGAUUGUAAAGCACUUUCGACGGGGACGAUGAUGACGGUACCCGUAGAAGAAGCCCCGGCUAACUUCGCGCCAGCAGCCGC